rnacentral:sRNA from 1 species
UCUGCCGGUGCUGCUGCGCCCAGCGGAGCUCCGAGCACGUGCGCAGAGGCUGGCUGUGGCAGAUGCAACUGCAGGAUGACUUGAAAGUAGGGCAUCCUUCACCCAUCUGAAGGGAGGAAAUAGUGGCAGGUGACAGUCUGCAUGUGCAGUUUUCAGAUGCCUUCACCUGAAUGACAUCUACCUCCGUCAGGACCCCAGAUGUCUGACAGCCCUGUGUGACACCAAGAUAAGUAACAAUCUGGCUGCUGACUACCCUAUUGGACAACUCCAAUAUUAGAGAACAUUUCCACCAAUUCAGAAAGUUUAUUAUGCACUGCUGUUCUAGAGCAGGGAUCAGCAAACUUGCUGUAAAGAGCCAGGAUCCCGUUGAAGAUACCACAUUACACUUAGGCUCCUGUUGGCCAUGACAGCUUCUUAGACUUGUUUUUAAUGACCUUGACAGUUUUGUUUUUUUUUUGUUUGUUUUUGAGACGGAGUCUCUGUCAUCCAGGCUGGAGUGCAAUGUAAUGGCUCAAUCUCAGCUCACUGCAACCUCUGCCUCCCGGGUUCAAGUGAUUCUCCUGCCUCAGCCUCCCCAGUAGCUGGGAUUACAGGCACGAGCCACCGUGCCCAGCCGCCUCCUAAAUUCUUAAAACGUUCCAUUUUUAUUCUGUGGUCUUAGUUUAUUCUGUCAUGUAGAGAAUAGUGGUUGAGCCUGUUGUCUUUUGAGAGUGGAUGCUGUAGUCCUUACAUGGCUGACUUUCACCCCGUAAGCUUAUAGUAGAGGAUGGGGAUUUUGUUAUCAGCUGCUAAAAGGGAGAAGCCAAGCCCAGAACUAAGGGUUCUGAUGAGUUGAAGGAGAGGGAAGAUGCCCCUCAAGGCAAA